rnacentral:rRNA from 1 species
AUUGAACGCUGGCGGCAUGCUUUACACAUGCAAGUCGAACGGCAGCACGGGGGCAACCCUGGUGGCGAGUGGCGAACGGGUGAGUAAUACAUCGGAACGUGCCCAGUUGUGGGGGACAACCAGUCGAAAGACUGGCUAAUACCGCAUACGACCUACGGGUGAAAGCGGGGGAUCGCAAGACCUCGCGCUAUUGGAGCGGCCGAUGUCCGAUUAGCCAGUUGGUGGGGUAAGAGCCUACCAAGGCGACGAUCGGUAGCUGGUCUGAGAGGACGACCAGCCACACUGGGACUGAGACACGGCCCAGACUCCUACGGGAGGCAGCAGUGGGGAAUUUUGGACAAUGGGGGAAACCCUGAUCCAGCCAUGCCGCGUGCGGGAAGAAGGCCUUCGGGUUGUAAACCGCUUUUGGCAGGAACGAAACAGUACGAGCUAAUACUUCGUACGAAUGACGGUACCUGCAGAAUAAGCACCGGCUAACUACGUGCCAGCAGCCGCGGUAACAC